rnacentral:rRNA from 1 species
UACGAAGGGGGCUAGCGUUGUUCGGAAUUACUGGGCGUAAAGGGCGCGAUAGGCGGCCAUUCAAGUUAGGUGUGAAAGCCCUGGGCUCAACCUAGGAAUUGCACUUGAUACUGUUUGGCUUGAGUUCGGGAGAGGUGAGUGGAAUUCCCAGUGUAGAGGUGAAAUUCGUAGAUAUUGGGAAGAACACCAGUGGCGAAGGCGGCUCACUGGACCGACACUGACGCUGAGGCGCGAAAGCGUGGGGAGCGAACAGG